AAAAAAAAAAAAAACAAGAAUUGAAAAGAAAAAAAACAACAUAGUGCUUCUGGAUGAUCAUCACAAUCCCCAUCGCAUCACUAAUCAAUUACGUUCAUCUUCGCCACUCUUACAUUUCGAUUUCAAAGACACCAAAAAAACAUCAUCGAAAUCAGAAACCUUGUCUCCUUGUUUUGUUCCACACACAAACCUUAACCUCUCCAAUUCCCAUCCAAAUUUCCUUCCUUUCCCUUUAAUAACGCUUUGCAAUUUCCGUUCUCUGAUCUCUCUCCAACAAGGACACUCUCCCAUAUUAUAUAUUCAUAGCGAAAGAGAUAGAUAA